AUGUCCGGAAUCCCGAAGAGAUUUGGGAGUGCUCGCAAGAGAACCGGAACACAGGUGCUGCAUGGCUGUCAUCAGCUCGUGUCGUGAGAUGUUGGGUUAAGUCCCGCAACGAGCGCAACCCUUGUCAUUAGUUGCCAUUCAUUUGGUUGGGCACUCUAAUGAGACUGCCGGUGACAAACCGGAGGAAGGUGGGGAUGACGUCAAGUCCUCAUUGGCCCUUAUGGGUAGGGCUUCACACGUCAUACAAUGGUCGGUACAGAGGGUUGCCAACCCGCGAGGGGGAGCCAAUCCCAAAAAGCCGCUCUCAGUUCGGAUUGCAGGCUGCAACUCGCCUGCAUGAAGCCGGAAUCGCUAGUAAUCGCGGAUCAGCAUGCCGCGGUGAAUACGUUCCCGGGCCUU
rnacentral:rRNA from 1 species